rnacentral:lncRNA from 1 species
AGGAUGCCAUCUUCCCUCCAGCAGAGCACUGGGAUCACAGGUUGGUUCCAGACCAGCCUACAGUUAACAGCUCUAAAAUCCUCUGCCUGGCUUUAUUCCUAAGGAAGAGGGGGACUGUUGAUACCUGUCCCUCACAGCCCAGUGCAGUGUGGUUUUUAUGCUCCAGGAGGCCUCCUGCUUCCGGGACAUAGGGGAAGGGAGGAUAAUUGCUGGGGAAGAAGUGAGUGCUCAGUUGGUUUUCGUUUCUGUUUUGGUUUUGGUUUUUCAAGACAGGGUUUCUCUGUGUAGCCCUGGCUGUUCUGGAACUUGCUCUGUAGACCAGGCUGGCCUCGAGCUUAUAGAGAUCUGCCUGCCUCUUACUCCCUAGUGCUGGGAUUAAAGGUGUGAGCCACCACGCCUGGCUAAAUUAAAAAAAAAAAAAAAAGAUUUAUUUACUUAUAUGUAAGCACACUGCAGCUAUCUUCAGACACACCACAAGAGAGCAUCAGAUCUCAUUAUGGAUGGUUGUGAGCCAUCAUGUGGUUGCUGGGAUUUGAAGUCAUGACCUUCAGAAGAGCAGUUGGCACUUUGAACCACUGAGCCAUCUCUCCAGCCCUAAAUUUUUAAUUUAAUGUGUGUGUUUGCUUGCUUCUAUCUGUGCAACAUAUGUGUGCCAUAGUGGUGCCAGCAGAGGCCAAAAGAGAGCCUCAGAUACUAGGACCUGGAGUUACAGAGUUCUGAGCCACUGUGUGGGUGCUGGGAAUAGAACCUGGGUUCUCUGCAAGAGCAGCAAGUGCUCCUAACUGCAGAGUCUCUCUCCAGAUCCUCCCUAGAAAACCUUGAAAUUUUAAAACUAGAAAUUAGCUUACAAAGUACUGGGUUUCCAUAGGUUUUUUAUCUGGGUUUUUGGUUUCACUGUGUGAUGGAAAUUGCUCCCCACCCAUUGCUCUGCUCGGUCUGUUUAGUUUGCUUUGGUUGGAGAAGGAUUUCCGGACUGUCUUCUGUCUCCAAGUGCUGGGACUAUAGGUGUGGGUCGCCACGGUACAUACCUACAGUUGGUGUUUUAUAGAGUUUUUUCCUUUGUCCUUUGAAACAGGAUCUUGCCAUAUAGCAGAAACUGACCUGGAGCUUCCUAUGUGGUAGUUAUAAAAUUCUGUUAGAGAUCAGAAAUUCCAGAGAUGGGAGACAUGGCUCAGUGUUUAAGAGUGCAUACUACUCUUGCAAAGGACCCAAGGUGGAUUCCCAACCCCCAUAAUACAUGGCUUACAACUGCCUGUAACUUCAACUCCAUGAGGGUUUAAUGAUUGGCACCUGCAUUUGCUUGAACAGAGGCGCACACUUGUCCACAAUAACAACUCAAGAAAAUCCCAUGAAAUCCAUACAUUAAAAGGCAACAGACUCCUAGGUGGGAGGGAGAUUUUUCUCCACUUGGGUGAGUAGUCUAACGGGUUGGUAGAGUGGAGUGUAGGAAGACAUAAAGCAUUCUGUCACCGUGUGCGGGAGACCAGCCUGAACUGUAAGAAGCUUACGGCAGCAUUUUCACUAGGCAUGGUGGUGUGUGCCUGCAAUCCCUGCAUUUAGACGCUGAGGCAGAAUUGCUACAAGUUUGAGGCUAGCCUGGGCUACAUGGUACCAGGCUACCCAGGUCUGCGUAGCAACCCCUUGUCUCAAAACAGAAUCCCUCAGCAUAUUGUCGCUGGGGUUGUAUGGUAAGAAUUCUCACUUCAGUGUUUCUCACAAGGCUGCAAUUAAGUUGUGAGCCAACAGGCUUGAGUGUAACUCAGUGGAAUAGAUGCCUGAUCCGGGUUUGAUCUCCAGUACCAUAAAAGGUAAUAGCCCAUCAUUUCCACCACUGGGCCACCCAAUCUGUUUUCAGGAGGGUGGGAGAAAGCAGGAAGCAUAGGCAGCCACUAUGAAAAGUGCUAACUGGAGGCCACCAGCAACCAAGUUCCUACAUAAACCAAAUGGUGGUACUGUACACCUUUUAAUUCCAGCACUGGGAAGGCAGAGGCAGGUUCUAGGACAGCUGGGACUACACAGAGAAACCCUGUCUCAAAUUAAAAAAAAAAAAAAAGUCUUAUGACUUUGGUACACUCACAUGCACAUGGUACUCACUUGUGCACAUACACACACUAAACAUGCUAGAAUCUCUAGGGUGUGUUUUCCACCCUCGGUGGCUUUCAGGUCUAAGCUGUGGAGUCCUGAGAAGGAAGCACUCUUGCCCAGACUAGUGAUAACCUGGAACUGAAGCUGAUAACUGCAGGGCUCUGGAGAAGAGGGAAAGGCUGGGCCACCAUCUGGGGUGAGUCAAGGUGACUGAGUGCGGAAAGUGAGCAAGACAGGACUUGUCUUCCGCUGGUGCUAAGUGUGUGGUUAUAAGAAGGCCUGCGUGCUAAGACAUAGUGGAAGAGCUAAAAAAUGGUUGCCCAAGAAGCCACAUCUUGCCUGAGGUCAAAAAACAAAACAAAACCCAACAAAGGAUAUGGCUUUUAAGCAAACUGGAGACUGCAAUGGAGAGAGCAGAGGAGGAGGAAAUGGGCCAUCCUGGGAGGAGCAGCAGGGUGAGUCCCUGCUCACAGAAGGGUUAACCUGCAGCCCUCUCGUGCUCCUCCAGAGACGGGUGGACAACCCUGUC